GAUGACGCUAGCGAAGGCCUAACACACGCAAGUCGAGGGGCAGCGGGGGUAGCAAUAUCUGCCGGCGACCGGCGCACGGGCGCGUAACGCGUAUGUAACCUGCCCGCAACAGGGGUACAGCUCUCCGAAAGGGGGAUUAAUACCGCAUAAUACUUUUAAUCCGCAUGGUUUAGAAGUCAAACAUUUAUGGGUUGCGGAUGGACAUGCGUGACAUUAGCUAGAUGGCGGGGUAGCAGCCCACCAUGGCAACGAUGUUUAGGGGUUCUGAGAGGAAGGUCCCCCACACCGGAACUGAGACACGGUCCGGACUCCUACGGGAGGCAGCAGUGAGGAAUAUUGGUCAAUGGGCGAGAGCCUGAACCAGCCAAGUCGCGUGCGGGAUGACGGCCCUAUGGGUCUUAAACCGCUUUUUCAGGGGAAGAAUGUUAUCUAUGUAUAGGUAAGUGCCGGUACCCUGCGAAUAAGCAUCGGCUAACUCCGUGCCAGCAGCCGCGGUAAUACGGAGGAUGCGAGCGUUAUCCGGAUUUAUUGGGUUUAAAGGGUGCGUAGGCGGGAUAAUAAGUCAGGGGUGAAAUAUUUCAGCUUAACUGAGAUACUGCCUUUGAUACUGUUAUUCUUGAGAGAAGACGAGGUAUGCGGAAUGUGGUAUGUAGCGGUGAAAUGCAUAGAUAUACCACAGAACACCGAUUGCGCAGGCAGCAUGCCAGACUUUAUCUGACGCUGAAGCACGAAAGCGCGGGUAUCAAACAGGAUUAGAUACCCUGGUAGUCCGCGCUGUAAACGAUGAUUACUGGUUGUUUCGGUUUAAAUACUGGAGUAACGAGCGAA
rnacentral:rRNA from 1 species